rnacentral:rRNA from 1 species
AGAGUUUGAUCAUGGCUCAGAUUGAACGCUGGCGGCGGCCUAACACAUGCAAGUCGAGCGCGAAAAGCUUUCUGGCUGAGUAGAGCGGCGGACGGGGGAUUAGUAACUAGGAAUCUACCUGGUAAUGGGGGACAACUUGCGGAGACUCAAGCUAAUACCGCAUACGCCCUACCGGGGAAAGCGGGGGACCUUCGGGCCUCACGCUAUCGGAUGAGCCUGCGAAGGAUUAGCUAAUUGGUGGGGUGAAGGCCCACCAAGGCGACAAUCCUUAUCUGGUCUGAAAGGAUGAUCAACCACACUGGAACUGAGACACGGUCCAAACUCCUACCGGACUCCUAGUGGGGAAUAUUGCGCAAUGGGCGAAAGCCUGACCCAACCAUGCCGCGUGUGUGAAGAAGGCCUUAAGGAUGGAAAGCGCUUUCAAUUGCUAAGAAAAGUUUGUCGAUUAUAGCGGCAAGCUCUGACAUUACCUUUAGAAGAAUCACCGGCUAACUCCGUGCCAGCACCCGCGGUGAUACCGAUGGUGCGAGCGUUUGUCCGAAUUACUGGUGCGUAAAGCGCGCGUAAGCCGUUUGUUAAGUCCCCUGUGAAAGCCCCGGGCUCAACCUGGGAACUGCAGUUGAUACUGGCCGACUAGAGUACGAGAGACCCAGGUAGAAUUCCAUGUGUAUUGAUGAAAUGCAUAGAUAUAUGGAGGAAUACCAGUGGUCGAAGGCUGUCUCCUGGGCUCGAUACUGAAGCUGAGUGAGAAAGCGUGGAUUAUCUACCAGGAUUAGAUACCCUGGUAGUCCACGCCGUAAAACGAUGUCUACUAGCCGUUGGGAGACUUGAUUUCUUAGUGGUGCAGCUAACGCAAUAAGUAGCCCGCCUGGGGAGUACGGCUGCAAGGUUAAAACUCAAAUGAAUUGACGGGGGCCCGCACAAGCGGUGGAGCAUGUGGUUUAAAUCGAUGCAACGCGAAGAACCUUAACAGGUCUUGACAUCCACGAAUUUUCUAGAGAUAGAUUAGUGCCUUCGGGAACGCAGUGACAGGUGCUGCAUGGCUGUCGUCAGCUCGUGUCGUGAGAUGUUGGGUUAAGUCCCGUAACGAGCGCAACCCUUGUCCUUAGUUGCCAGCACAUAAUGGUGGGAACUCUAAGGAGACUGCCGGUGACAAACCGGAGGAAGGUGGGGACGACGUCAAGUCAUCAUGGCCCUUACGUCCUGGGCUACACACGUGCUACAAUGGAACGCACAGAGGGCUGCAAAGGCGCGAGCUGGAGCGAAUCCCACAAAACGUUUCGUAGUCCGGAUUGGAGUCUGCAACUCGACUCCAUGAAGUCGGAAUCGCUAGUAAUCGUGAAUCAGAAUGUCACGGUGAAUACGUUCCCGGGCCUUGUACACCCCGCCCGUCACCCCAUGGGAGUGGGUUGCAAAAGAAGUGGGUAGACUAACCUUCGGGAGGUCGCUCCCCACUUUGUGAUUCAUGAUCGGGGUGAAGUCGUAACAAGGUAACC